GGGCCCGCACAAGCAGCGGAGCGUGUGGUUUAAUUCGAUGUUACACGAAGAACCUUACCAGGGUUUGACAUGCAAGUGGUAGGAAGCCGAAAGGUGACCGACCCUUCGGGGAGCUUGCACAGGUGCUGCAUGGCUGUCGCCAGCUCGUGUCGUGAGAUGUUCGGUUAAGUCCGCUAACGAGCGCAACCCUCGCUGUGUGUUAUAUGUGUCACACGGGACUGCCGGUCUUAAGCCGGAGGAAGGUGGGGAUGAUGUCAAGUCAGCAUGGCCUUUAUAUCCUGGGCUACACACACGCUACAAUGGCCAACACAAUAGGUUGCUAAGCCGCGAGGUGGCGCCAAUCCAUAAAGUUGGUCUCAGUUCAGAUUGUAGGCUGCAACCCGCCUGCAUGAAGAUGGAGUUGCUAGUAACCGCAGGUCAGCUAUACUGCGGUGAAUACGUUCCCGGGGCUU
rnacentral:rRNA from 1 species